CGGUUAUAAACACAAAUACUGCUCAUAGGCGCAGCAGAACAUAACUUCAGGACAGUUAACCUCACAACACACGACUGAUUCCAAAGGCACUUUCUAAGACUGUUUACAGAAGACACAGCUGUCAGAACCAAUCACAAACCGUGAGGGCCCGUGUCUGUCUGACAAUGUAAGUCUACGGUAUAUCUUAUCUGAUGAGUCGUUACACACUGUAAAUUUGAAUAUGCCAAGCCAUAUCAUAACUGAUUACGGCAGGACAUCUGACCUCAAGCAAAGUGUGUAAAGCUAUAACACCGUUUAAAAGUUUGGGGUUGGUAAGACUUUUGAAUGUUUGAGUCUCUUAUGUUCACCAAGGCUACAUUUAUAUGAUAAAAAUACAGCACAAACAGUAAUAUUAUGACAUAAUUACAAUUUAAAAUAAUUGUUUCAUUUAAAUAUAUUUAAAAUGUAAUUUAUUCCUGUGAUCAAAGCUGAUUUUUCAGCAUCAUUUCUCCAGUCUUCAGUGUCACAUGAUCCUUCAGAAAUCAUUCUAAUAUGAUGAUUUGAUGCUCAAGAAACAUUUCUGAUUAUUAUCAGUAUUGAAAACAGCGUGGAAACUGAUCAUUUUUUAAGGAUUCUGUGAAUAGAAAAUAACAAAAUAACAAAACUAAAAUAGCUAUUUGAAAUAGAAAUCUUUUGUAACAUUAUAAAUUGUUUUUACUGUCACUUUUGAUAAAAAAAAAAAAAAAUCUUACUAACAAUAUUGUACUCAAGCAUACAGACGAUGAAAGUUUCGGGAAAAAGUUCUUAUUAAUUACUUUCUAUACUAUUAAUAAUUACUUGAAAAUGCAUUGUUUAAUUAAUUGUGAGAUACUUAAAAGCUUCAUGCCAUUGUUUUAGUUUAGUUUAAUCUUUACAGAAUAUUAAAUGUUAAUAUAAAAUAAACUAAAUUAAUCUAAUAUUAAUACAGGUAUUCAAUGCAUCUCUUGUCAGUAUAGUAACACAAUACAACAUCACAGUCACUAUUAUCAUCAGAAACAGUACAUAAGAUUACCAAAUAAAACCACCAGUGAGUCACAAUAUAAAACCACCCAGCAUCAGAGACAGCCAAUCAAAGCGAUGAAAUCGAAAUGUUAUGAUCAGCCACUCACCUUAAGAGUUAGAGUCGGAUUAAGACAGGUAAUGACACCGCUGGUGAGAUCUACUUGACUUUUGGCUGGUUAUAAAUAUGAAUAUGAAGCCUGACUGAAAGUUUCAAAACUUCUACUUCCGUAAACGGAGGUGGUUGUGGUGUAGGCUAAAUACUGCAUGGGGUGUGAGUUUUUGUUUGCACUCUAUACUGUUUACCAAAAACACACUGUAGAGUUUGGAAAUUGUUCUUUUUUAUUAACAGACCGUUUUUAAAAUCCCAAAACCUUCAGCAUGUAAAGUUUGUGCUGAAAUGACUGAGACAGUCAGGUAUGUUUUAACCAAAAAUAAAGACCCAACCACACAUGGGCCUUGUAGCGGCAACACACUCUGCACUCAUUACAGCAGCGUCCCAGAUUAUAAAAUUUUAAGAAUCACUCUAAGCCAAUCUGUUGAUGCAUACUGUCCUUGUUUCUGGGUCAUUUUAAGGGCUCAGAAAUUCCCAGCUCUCCCUGAAGGCAGCAUCACGUGACACGCAUGGCUUAAUCAAGCCAGUGGGCAACAAGUUAUCAAGCCUUCUGUUGUCACCCUGAGGCUGAACUUGUCUUCGCUGCGUACUGCACAUUAAAAACUACAGCGACAGACACUGAGCCCAAUAACAGCAGGUUCUGAUUCGCCCUGGAUCACCUUGUUGUGUCCUAACUCAAAGCAUAUGACGUCACCACACAGAGCAGGAGCUAGUGAGUCAUCUGAUGCACACCCAAACUGUGUCUGUGCGUCCAUAUGUCUGGAGCGUGGCAUUCCCUCUCCCUCAGGCGUGCUGAAUUAUACAGCAUAACUGCACUCGUGAGCAGACCGGCUCCGAGCUCUUGCCUGCUGGAAGCUUCUGUUGUCCUACUGAGCAUUUGAGUCAAAAUUUGUAAAAAUCAAGAAGGAUUUUCAAUGCUGAAUACCCUCUGACGGCGAUGUUUGCAUCAGGGGUUCUGCUUCAUAUGGACCCAAACUGGGGUUUCAGAGUCCACAGCAAUCCUCUAAGACAGUUGUUCUCAACCUGCAGCCCGUCACGAAUGCAAAUGUGGCCCACAUUUAAAAAAUAAAUUCCAGUUUUACAAUUUAUUUUUGUUUUUAAAUUAAAUUAAAAUGGGUUAAAUGAAUAUUUGUUUGAACUAUAAUGUUUGUCAUAUAAAAACAUUUUGGUGAUCAUAUAUUAUUUUCAGACAUGCGCAGACCUACUAUAUACUGACGAACGAACACUUACAAGCACGUGCUUUGGCAUUCCAAUAUUAGCCAUUGUUUUUGUAAAUUUAGGGAUUAAAAUGGACAAAUUUGUUAUUUGAGGAGAAAACCGAAAUGAGGAACAUACCAAUGAAGAAACAAGAAGAGUCGUAGUAUCAGCAGUGAAGGUAAGAAGAACGGAAGAAUCAGUUUGCUGUCAAUGAGCGAGAUGGGCAGCCUUUGUUUGCUCUGUAGUAAAGUACUUGGCAUAUGCAAAACCUACAAUGUCAAAAGACAUGUGAAUUCGAUGUGUUUGUUUGAUGUACUUGUAUUUUAAAUUGAUAAAAAUAACCACAUCGACACACUGUGCGAGGGAUUGCGACGUGACAGAAUGCUUGAUAUCGUCAGAGAUUGUAAUUGCAAUGCAAUGUUUGUAAAAAGAGUUGAGUAACAUUUGCUUAUUAAAAGGUGUUUGUGGCCAAUAAAACAUUCUGUCAUUGUUUGGUGACUGUUACGAUGCUGUUGAAGAGAAUUUAUAUCCAGAGUUAAAUAGUAAAGUGCUUGUAUGUUCAUUGAGCAUUAUUAUCUGAUUACUGUAAUGCUAAUGUCAGUAGUUAGCUUUUAUUUGGUGGAAUACAUUGUUCUCAUUUUCUGUGACAUACUGUAUAUCAGGGGAUUGUGUAAUGUGAGUUUAUUGAACGAGAGUUUCAUUUUGAUAUGAAGAAGUCACACUGCCAGCCAUUUCAAUACAUUGUGAAACAAAAACACACUGUGAAACAAAGAAGAGCUUCUUAUAGUAUUUGUUGAUUUUGCAGAGUGUGACAGACCAUAGCGCGGCCCACUGGGAAAAAAGGUUGAGAAACACUGCUCUAAGACAAUGCUGAAGGAAUACUUUAUGCAGUCAAUUACAGUAUAAAAAGAAGGCACGAUAAGUCAUGCCAACAUGAAAUGCCAUGAUAAUGAUACGCCAAUGCGUUCGUAAAAUAUAGCAUUUUGCUACAAAAUUAAAAAUUGGCUGAUAAAGGAAAAUUGGUAAUUGUUUGACUUGGCAUGCUGCACCGAAUCUAAAGAGACCAGUUUUGUGAUUUUUGGCCAAAUCGUUCAGAAGUUAUAAGCAAAAAUAGCCAUUUUUUUUGUAGGUGGCGCAGCGCCGAAACGCAGCAUGUAACCUCAGGUCAUGCUUGUGAUGACAUGGACCAAGUUUAGUCUGAAUACGAUAAAGCACUGCGGAGAUACAGCCUUACGUCUAUUUUCACAAACGUUACGUAAAAUUCAUUCCCGCAUUAUUCAAGAAUGGUAUGAAGAAACGACUUGAAAUCCAUUAGUUUUUGUCGGCAUGGUCUGAAGAUGGUCCGUUUCCAUUUUCAUGUAAAUGUGACGUUACGUGACAUAUCCCAGAUAGCAUGCAGUAAUCGGCCCGAGCUCUGCUGCCCCACGGCGCCUGCGGCUCAGACCCGGCAUCGGCGUGUGUUAACCGGGCCGAUUGUGGCCCGCAGCUCACUCUGGCACAUGUAUAUUUAUUACGACUGUAAAGCACUGGGCCGAUUCUUGUUCACCGUAACUGGCCCAACUCUGGCUAUAGAGAUCUGGCCACUUCUGGCAAUGACUCGGCUUAUGUUCACUCACAGAUGGUUACAUAAGCAAUAAUUAACAUAAAAUUGUCUUAAAAUUGACUUUGUUUCCUGGUAGUAUCUGAUAUGAAAUAACUAACGUUACACGUUUAAUGUAGCGAAUUUGUCAAAAACAACAUAUCUGCGGUAAAACCUAAUAUAAUAAAAGUGCCGUAUAAGACAGAACAUUCUCUAAUAUGCAUAAUAUCAAAUCUAUUUAUAAGUAAUGUAGCAAUUCAUUCUUUUAUACGCUUUUAUGUAUUUUAAACGUGCUUCACUGCACUCUCAGGUGAUUCAUUCAUCUUCACUCGCGCGGCGGUGGGUGGGGUCUUGUACCUGUGGUAGUGGGUGAUAUCCGCCAUGUUUGUACGGUUUGGAGCGGACGUGAGCAAAAACAAUGGAUUAUUUACCAAGAGAUAUUAAUGUAUGAGGUCAUUUCGACAAAACAGUUCUGGUAAGCAUCGACACACAUUUACAUUUGUAGUAUUUUUACUUCGCAGACACUUAUAAAGGAACUUGCUAAAAGUUAACUUCACGUGACUGACACGAACGUGGCUUUCUUGGCUUGUCUACAAAGUUUCGGUAUGCCACCUACAGCUAAUAAACGGACAAAAUCUUUUUCAUCUUUGAUCUAAGCAUUGUUAUGUGGAUCUCGAUUGUUUACGCUGACGAGCAACACUCCAAUCUGCAAACAAAGAGCUGAGGAAGAUGAUGAUGACGGUCCUGCAUACACGAGAAGAAAGAGCAGGUUUGUUUGUUUGGUUUUUAGUUUCCACACUUAUAUAGGUUUUAUAAAUGCAAUUGUAAUAAGCAAAAGUUGUUUUAUUCCAUGUUUCUUCAAGAAGGUGAGUGAAGAGGAUUUGUUUAUAGCCUACUAUCAUAGAAGAUCAUUGUUUUCAAAUAACCUCAAUUAACUAAAUACAUAAGCUAGUUUGACUGAUUUUUUUGUUAUGAUGAGAAUGUACUGCAAUCCUAUGCAUUAGUAUGUCUGAGAUCAUCUUCAGUUGCAGAUUUUACAUUUACAGAUGCUCAUGACUGCUAAAACAUGGACAACACAAACACAGCAUCACAGCUUUUGUUGCUACUAGCUGCUUCUUCACUCAGCAUGUUAAGACGCAAAGGAAUAAGUGAUUAUUUCUCAUAACAUAAAUUGCUUUUAAUAUUUCUCUGUUUUGUAGUAAUCAAGAGAAAUGUUAUCAUUGCUGAAGAAAUGGCAGAUUUUAAUGCCCAGACACUGAGCAGUGCAAGCCCUGAAGAAAUAAGACUAUGGACAUCAUCUUUAUUCUACUUCUCUGACUGAACUAGUAAGGAGCUGUUGGAGCCAAUGAGAAAGCUGGCUGAACUGUAUGCUUACUGAAGAGUGAGCCUCAAAACUUAAGGUUUGUACAAAGUUACUCCAUAUCGCUGAAAAUGGCACACAUCAAGAUUUCAGAGACUCUGCGUGACAUUUUAAAUGUUUAUGAUCUUCAGGCGAGUUGAAAUUUGUCAACAGUAACUACUUCCAUCACUGUCUUCACUGUAUAUAAAAUUAAGUUGGCUUGCUUGUUUAACAUGUUAAUUUUUGCUUGAGUUUGAAGGGUGUGCAUGAUGUCAGCAUGAAAUGCACUGUAGCCCUCCAUGCUCCUCAGUUUACCUGUGAGGAGGACCCACAAUUCUUCAAGACUUGAAGUGAGGUGUUGGGAGAGCCAGACAUCACUGAUUUUGUCAUUGUGGUCAACGAAAGAACAAGUCCUUCAAGCACUGCAGUUGUUAUAGAAGAUGAUCUUUAGUUUUAGCAUGUUCGGAAGCACUUCUUCACAGUCACAGGGUUUUAAAAAUAAAAGACUAAUCUUCAAAAAAAAAUCUUCAAUUGUACAGCUUAAGGUUUAUUUUAUUUAUUUUAGUCUUUUUGUUACUGUUGUUUGUUUGUUUUUUUAGUUAGUAUUUUUAAGUAAUAAAGUACUGCAGAGGUGCCCGAUCCUGUUCCUGGAGAUCAACCAGAUUGCAGAGUUCAGCUAAGUUAUUCAGCUAAUUAUUUUGCUAAGUACAAAAUGUGUUUAACAGCAAAACUUUUUCCAUUUAACAAUGUGUUUAAAACAUUUUUUUUUUUUUUAAGUAUGCCUAUACUUAUUAAAUUUUACAGUCUGUGUAUAAGUAAAUACUGGUGUAUAAUUUUUCAAAAUGUGGUAAAUAUUUUAUUUACAGUAAUUGUAUAACAACUGCUGUUAUUUGAUGUAAUAUAGUUUUGUAAUUGUUUUGUAAAUAAAACGUCUUCAUGCCAACCAGAUCAAGUGAGUUCUUUACAAAUGGACAUAUAUUUGCUUUCAUAAUAAUGUGAUGUUUGUAUAGAUUUAAGUAAUGUUAUUUAUGUAUUAUAAUUUAUAUAAUUAAAAUGUAAGUAAAUGUUUUGGCUGGGUAUCAAAUUUAAAUGAAAAAUGUAUGAACAGUAUGGUAAACGGGGCUGGGCCGUGCCUGGCGUGCUGUGCGCAUUAGUGACGGCCCGAUACCGGCUUGAUUGAGGCAGUGUUGGCAAGGUAACGGCUGCCGUGUCUGGCCCGAUUGAUUCAGGCCGGAAUCGGGCAGUGAGUACACAAGCAUCCGGCCCGAUCACUGCAGACAGAAGCGGGGCGAGUGGUAAGUCUCCGGCAGGCGAGAAUCUAACCGAAACUGGGCAGAGUGUAUUUUGCUAUCUGGGAUUGUUUACAGGCUGUUUUAUUGAUGUCUUUGAGCGAUGACAUGAGACAUGAUGCAGAUUUCGGUAAGUUGUACUCUAUCUUUAAACAUACCUUCUGAUGUUCAUUCAUGUUUAUUUUGUGUUGUAACUAGUAAAGCAGAAUAGAUAAUCAGGUCAAGUGCCACUUCUUUUUAACUGAGGCGCUACAGCGAUCUGUCACGCCACAUUAAACAGCGCCAAAACGGUAAUUAUUUUUUUAAUUUUGAAAUAAAAUUGACAUAAUUUGAAAUCUGAGACAUUGUUUCAUUUCAAAAGUAACAAAGCACAAAGAUUAUUGCGAUUUAUUGGAUGGGAUGAGCGCUACAAUGUUCCGUUCAUUCAUUAACUGAAAACAGGAUAGACUAAUCGAUUCUUGGGAUUUAAGAAUCGAUAUCAGUUCAUGAAAAUGAGAAUCGAUUAAAAUCAAGAAAUCUAUAUUUUUACCCAGCCCUACAACUAGGGCUGCAUGAUCAGUGGAAAUAAGUUGCAAAAUGGCUUAGUGAGAUCAUGAAAUCACAAAGACUGUGAUUUAAUUAAACACAUGCACUGCAUGUUUCACUGUGUUCUUUUACACGUGAGCUGCUCAGUUUUUUCAGUCUUCCACAGUGGUCUGAUUUUUAAUAUAUGCUGCUCCAUGAACAAUCUCUGCAUUUGAGUUGCUUAUAACGUGCAAAACAAGCAGUGCAAACCAGGAGAAAAAUACAUUUAAAAUCACAAUUAGAUUUUUCCCCAAAUCGUACAGCCCUAACAUAGCAAUAUCAGGAAGGGACAUGAUGCAACUUUCUAUAAAGCACUGUUCAUCCCCUGAGGACAUUAGUGCCAUCUCAAACGGAUGAUUUAAACUUUUACAAGAAUGCAAGCUUCACAUUUCUACUUUUACACCCUUUUAGCUGCUACACUUCCAUAUUGAGUGUGUUAAGUUAAUGAAUUAGAAAA